rnacentral:rRNA from 1 species
GGACUACUGGGGUUUCUAAUCCCAUUCGCUCCCCACGCUUUCGUCCUAGCAGUGUCAGGUGGCACCCAGAAGCCUGCCUACGCUAUUGGUGUUCCGAACGAUAUCAACGCAUUUCACUACUACACCGUUCGUUCCGGCUUCCUCUUUGCCCCUCAAGUUUUACAGUUUCAAAAGACAGUCUCUAAGUUAAGCUUAAAGAUUUCACUUCUGACUUGUAAAACCACCUAUCGGUACGCUUUACGCCCAAUGAUUCCGGAUAACGCUUGAGGUCUCUGUAUUACCGCGGCGGCUGGCAC